rnacentral:rRNA from 1 species
AGUGAACGCUGGCGGCGUGCCUAACACAUGCAAGUCGAACGAUGAUAGGAAGCUUGCUUCCUUGAUUAGUGGCGCACGGGUGAGUAUACCAUAGAUAAUGUACCUCUUAGUUUGGGAUAGCCACUGGAAACGGUGAUUAAUACCAGAUACUCCUUCUCAUUAUAAGAUGAGUCGGGAAAGUUUUUCGCUAAGGGAUCAGUCUAUGUUCCAUCAGCUUGUUGGUGAGGUAAUGGCUCACCAAGGCUAUGACGGAUAUCUGGUUUGAGAGGAUGAUCAGACACACUGGAACUGAGACACGGUCCAGACUCCUACGGGAGGCUG